UUUGUUUGUUGGUAGUCUGAUUAGUCCCACCUCGGUAACUGAGGCAGGUGGCAAGGGGGAGCUAGGUAUAAGAACGGACCAUGGGCGUAUGGAAAUGGGCAUUUUUGCGCUUGGGGCAAUGACGCACCUAGUGAGGUAAUACCGAGGCGCGUCAAUUGCUGGUUGAAAACUAUUUCCAAACUCCCUCUUUGGCCCUCACGGGUCACUGAGAAUUUGUGCAAAGGCUCCCUCUCCUUGGAGAGGGCAAGGGCC
rnacentral:sRNA from 1 species